AUUGAACGCUGGCGGCAGGCCUAACACAUGCAAGUCGAACGGUAACAGGAAGAGGCUUGCUUCUUUGCUGACGAGUGGCGGACGGGUGAGUAAUGUCUGGGAAACUGCCUGAUGGAGGGGGAUAACUACUGGAAACGGUAGCUAAUACCGCAUAACGUCGCAAGACCAAAGAGGGGUACCUUCGGGCCUCUUGCCAUCGGCUGUGCCCAGAUGGGAUUAGCUAGUAGGUGGGGUAACGGCUCACCUAGGCGACGAUCCCUAGCUGGUCUGAGAGGAUGACCAGCCACACUGGAACUGAGACACGGUCCAGACUCCUACGGGAGGCAGCAGUGGGGAAUAUUGCACAAUGGGCGAAAGCCUGAUGCAGCCAUGCCGCGUGUAUGAAGAAGGCCUUCGGGUUGUAAAGUACUUUCAGCGGGGAGGAAGGGAGUAAAGUUAAUACCUGUGCGCAUUGACGUUACCCGCAGAAGAAGCACCGGCUAACUCCGUG
rnacentral:rRNA from 1 species